AGCGAACGUUAGCGGCGCGCCUAACACAUGCAAGUCGCACGAGAAACGGAGCAAUCCGCGGUACAGUGGCGCACGGGUGAGUAACACGUGGAUGACCUUCCCUGGAGUGGUGGAUAACCUGCCGAAAGGCGGGCUAAUACAGCAUGGGACCACGACGCUUUGGCGAUGUGGUGAAAGCGGGCCUCUAUAUAUAAGCUCGCGCUCCGGGACGGGUCCGCGUCCCAUCAGCUAGUUGGUGAGGUAACGGCUCACCAAGGCUUCGACGGGUAGCUGGUCUGAGAGGAUGGCCAGCCACACCGUAGGAACUGAGACGACGGUCCAGACUCCGUACGGGA
rnacentral:rRNA from 1 species